rnacentral:rRNA from 1 species
UGGGGAAUAUUGCACAAUGGGCGAAAGCCUGAUGCAGCAACGCCGCGUGAAGGAAGAAGGCCUUCGGGUCGUAAACUUCUGUCCUUGGGGAAGAAGAACUGACGGUACCCAAGGAGGAAGCCCCGGCUAACUACGUGCCAGCAGCCGCGGUAAUACGUAGGGGGCAAGCGUUAUCCGGAAUUAUUGGGCGUAAAGAGUACGUAGGUGGCAACUUAAGCGCAGGGUUUAAGGCAAUGGCUUAACCAUUGUUCGCCCUGCGAACUGGGAUGCUUGAGUGCAGGAGAGGAAAGCGGAAUUCCUAGUGUAGCGGUGAAAUGCGUAGAUAUUAGGAGGAACACCAGUGGCGAAGGCGGCUUUCUGGACUGUAACUGACACUGAGGUACGAAAGCGUGGGGAGCAAACAGG